AUGCAGAACAAGACACGGGUUGUCUACGAGGCUAUCACGUGCGCCUGCAGAAGCAACGUUGAUCAGCACCAGCAGCAGCAGUCGCAUCCCUCCACGCAUCGACAUCAACCACGUCCACGUCUAGCACAUCAGCCGACGACCAGGCCACCCCCUCCUGACCAACCCGGUAGUUCAACAUGGCAGCACCCACAACACUAUGGUCCCACGUCGAGCUUCGUGUUUUCUCCACAGCCACAGCAGCACGGUCCCUCGUCAAGCUUCGUGUUUGAGCCAGAGCAGCUUGAGGCGACCUCAUUCUUCAUGACUUAA
rnacentral:rRNA from 1 species